GACGAACGCUGGCGGCGUGCUUAACACAUGCAAGUCGAACGGAAAGGCCCUGCUUAUGUGGGGAGCUCGAGUGGCGAACGGGUGAGUAACCCGUGAGUACCCUGUCAUUGACUUUGGGAUAACUUCAGGAAACUGGGGCUAAUACCGGAUAGGAGCACCUGCUGCAUGGUGGGGGUUGGACAGUUUCGGUGGUUGGGGAUGGACAUGCGGCUUAUAAGCUAGUUGGUGGGGUAGUGGCUUACCAAGGCUCUGACGGGUAGCCGGCCUGAGAGGGUGACCGGCCACAUUGGGACUGAGAUGCGGCCCAGACUCCUACGGGAGGCAGCGGUGGGGAAUAUUGCACAACGGGCGGAAGCCUGAUGCAGCAACGCCGCGUGGGGGAUGACGGCCUUCUGGUUGUAAACCGCUUUCGCCUGUGACGAAGCGUGAGUGACGGUAAUGGGUAAAGAAGCACCGGCUAACUACGUG
rnacentral:rRNA from 1 species